UACGAAGGGUGCAAACGUUGCUCGGAAUCAUUGGGCGUAAAGCGCACGUAGGCGGCCUGUUAAGUCGGAUGUGAAAUCCCUCGGCUCAACCGAGGACGUGCAUUCGAAACUGGCAGGCUCGAGUAUGGAAGAGGGUCGCGGAAUUCCCGGUGUGGAGGUGAAAUUCGUAGAUAUCGGGAGGAACACCAGUGGCGAAGGCGGCGACCUGGGCCAAUACUGACGCUGAGGUGCGAAAGCGUGGGGAGCAAACAGG
rnacentral:rRNA from 1 species